AACGGUCUUCUCACCACCAUCAGAUUUCUCAUCUCAGCCAACUCCGACCUCCCUCCUCCCUCGUCGCCGGACUUCCGUUUUCUCACCACCGUCGGACUGUUCUUCCUCUCAACUCUGCAGCUCCCUCCGUCUACAAUCUCUCUCCGGCCACAGCUCCCUUCGUCUGCAAUCUCUCUCGGUCCGCAGCUCCCUCCGUCAGUAACCUCUCUCUGUCUGCAACUUCCAUGCGUCCGCAACCUCCUUCCUUCGUGUCUUGCUUCCUCUCAGCCGGUACACUCAGCUCCGGUCAGCCUCGACUCUUCCUCUUCAUAUACUUCAAGCGUCUUCAGG